rnacentral:rRNA from 1 species
AUUGAACGCUGGCGGCAGGCCUAACACAUGCAAGUCGAGCGGAUGAGAAGAGCUUGCUCUUCGAUUCAGCGGCGGACGGGUGAGUAAUGCCUAGGAAUCUGCCUGGUAGUGGGGGACAACGUUUCGAAAGGAACGCUAAUACCGCAUACGUCCUACGGGAGAAAGCAGGGGACCUUCGGGCCUUGCGCUAUCAGAUGAGCCUAGGUCGGAUUAGCUAGUUGGUGAGGUAAUGGCUCACCAAGGCGACGAUCCGUAACUGGUCUGAGAGGAGGGUCAGUCACAAUGGAAAUGAGACCCGGUCCAGACUCCUACGGGAGGCAGCAGGGGGGAAUAUUGGACAAUGGGCGAAAGCCUGAUCCAGCCAUGCCGCGUGUGUGAAGAAGGUCUUCGGAUUGUAAAGCACUUUAAGUUGGGAGGAAGGGCAGUAAGUUAAUACCUUGCUGUUUUGACGUUACCGACAGAAUAAGCACCGGCUAACUCUGUGCCAGCCGCCGCCGUAAUAC